CUGAGAUGUUACAUCAAACACUUCAUUCAAAGCUAUAUCAGCUACACAAUGGUAUAUAUAUGUAGAGGCACUGGACUGUGAUACCGAAGUUGGAAUGGGAGACUCUUCUAGAGAUUCAGUCAUGAACAGAAUAUUGUCUCUGCUAUGCUGCAUAAUCUGCAUUUUCUCACCAACAGAUGGAAACACCAUCUCAAAGCCGGCAGGCAGCAAAGUGAUCCUGCCUUGUACAAAUGAAUCUCUGAGCACCCUCCAG